UACGUAGGGCGCAAGCGUUAUCCGGAAUUAUUGGGCGUAAAGAGCUCGUAGGCGGUUUGUCGCGUCUGCCGUGAAAAUCCGGGGCUCAACCCCGGACUUGCAGUGGGUACGGGCAGACUAGAGUGUGGUAGGGGAGACUGGAAUUCCUGGUGUAGCGGUGAAAUGCGUAGAUAUGUGGAGGAACACCGAUGGCGAAGGCAGCCCCCUGGGUUAACACUGACGCUCAUGCACGAAAGCGUGGGGAGCAAACAGG
rnacentral:rRNA from 1 species